GAGCACCUUCCCUUAGGCUCUUGCUUUCAGUCUCUACUGUCUCUUCAGGGGUCACAAGGGAAUCCUGAGGUAUGCUUUCACUUAUGACCUCUCCACUGUCAGCCUUAGAAGUGGUAUCAUUGCUAUCCUCCAGCCUAAUGUUCCAGUAUUGGCAUGGAUUUAGCCUCUCCUCCCCAGGUAAGCCCCUUGAACAGC